AGGUUUCCUUUCUCAGCUGCGAAGCAUUUAGAGGAACUGACCGUGGCUUAGGUUUCGGUUUGCUUAAGCAGUCCGCCGAGGCGUUAGAGCCACCCCCGUCAAGUGGCCUCCGUGUUUGAUUGCUUGAAUAAGUGUUUUCUUCGGUUGAUUUGUUUUGAUAUGUGUUACCAGAAUCAGCUGGAGCUAAGCUAGACAUCCUGGAGGAUGCUUUGGGCCAGCUUGCCAUCUUCGUUAGUACCAACAGUCCGAGAAGCCUAUUCUCUCCUUUCCUUUGCCCAUGUCUGCUGUGUGGGGAUAGGGAGACAAGGCCUAUGAUAUAGUGUCAUGGAACAGUGACGUGUCAAUGGCGGAAGACUAAUCCCAGUGACUGGUCAAACUCAUAAUGAAUAGGUGGCUUAUAUUCUAACUAGAGGCAGGUAAAUAUACUAUAUACCAUUUAUAAAUAACUUUUCUGUAUGAAGUAGAUGGGGUAUAGCCUUUUCCAUAUUAAAAUAUCACAUUUUAGACCAAUUUGUUUUAAGAAAUAUUA